rnacentral:misc_RNA from 1 species
GAUGAAGAACGUAGCGAAAUGCGAUAAGUAGUGUGAAUUGCAGAAUUCAGUGAAUCAUCGAAUCUUUGAACGCACAUUGCGCCCCUUGGUAUUCCAUGGGGCAUGCCUGUUCGAGCGUCAUUUGUACCUUCAAGCUUUGCUUGGUGUUGGGUGUUUGUCUCGCCUUUGCGUGUAGACUCGCCUUAAAAUAAUUGGCAGCCGGCGUAUUGAUUUCGGAGCGCAGUACAUCUCGCGCUUUGCACUCAUAACGACAGCGUCCAAAAGUACAUUUUACACUCUUGACCUCGGAUCAGGUAGGGAUACCCGCUGAACUUAAGCAUAUCAAUCAGCGGAGGA